rnacentral:rRNA from 1 species
GGUUAAGCGACUAAGCGUACACGGUGGAUGCCCUGGCAGUCAGAGGCGAUGAAGGACGUGCUAAUCUGCGAAAAGCGUCGGUAAGGUGAUAUGAACCGUUAUARCCGGCGAUGUCCGAAUGGGGAAACCCAGUGYRAUUCGUYRCACUAUCGUUAACUGAAUACAUAGGUUAACGAGGCGAACCGGGGGAACUGAAACAUCUAAGUACCCCGAGGAAAAGAAAUCAACCGAGAUUCCCCCAGUAGCGGCGAGCGAACGGGGAGCAGCCCAG